rnacentral:lncRNA from 1 species
GCGAUGGAAAAGAGGUUGGGGAGGAACUUUGGGAAGAAACUGCUGGAAGGCUCUGGCAGAUCGGUCCUGGCCCGGGUAAAGAGCAGGGGCGCGUUCUUAGGGAACUUCCAAAGGCAGCCUCUCGACCCGUGCAGAAGGCAGAGGGGCCUUGGCCUCCGGGGAGCUGGGCGGAUGGCAGCGGCACUGCCGCUUCAUCUGCUCCUUAUUAAUAACGUGUUCGGUGCCCGGACGCAACUGUUGUGUCUACUGAGGACUGCACUGGAAUCUGCCUCUCUGCAGCCGCUUGGGAACGUGGGUGUACCCUGAGAUUUAGCAGCUGCCUCUGAGUUUGUGUCCAAAGAUCAAAGAUCGAUCUUUAAACUCCAACUAUAUUCACCCGCCGGCUUUUCCACGUGGGGGAGAUACAGUUCUUCGAUUCCCCGGGCUGCGGGACGAGGGGGUGGGGUUCAGAAAGAGCGGUCUGCAGACCCUGGCGAUUCACGGGUUCUUUCUUUCACAUGGGGGAGCUCAUGGAAAGUGC